rnacentral:misc_RNA from 2 species
AAGUCGUAACAAGGUCUCCGUUGGUGAACCAGCGGAGGGAUCAUUACCGAGUUUACAACUCCCAAACCCAAUGUGAACGUUACCAAACUGUUGCCUCGGCGGGAUCUCUGCCCCGGGUGCGUCGCAGCCCCGGACCAAGGCGCCCGCCGGAGGACCAACCAAAACUCUUAUUGUAUACCCCCUCGCGGGUUUUUUUAUAAUCUGAGCCUUCUCGGCGCCUCUCGUAGGCGUUUCGAAAAUGAAUCAAAACUUUCAACAACGGAUCUCUUGGUUCUG